AAACAAUCAGAUCUUAUAUGAUCACAAAACUUAUACCAGCUAUACAAACUUGUUGGCCUAGAGAAGCAAGGCAUAAGACAAUAUGGAUACAACAGGACAAUGCUCCUUCUCAUCUACCAGUAGAUGAUGCAGAAUUUGCUGCAGCAGUAGCCCCAACAAGCCUUGAUAUACGCCUACUUAACCAGCCUGCUAAUUCGCCUGAUAUGAACUGCCUUGACCUUGGUUUCUUUGCUUCUCUUCAAUCAUUAACGGAUAGAACGACAUCUAGAAACAUGGAUGAGCU
rnacentral:lncRNA from 1 species